rnacentral:ncRNA from 1 species
GUCCUAAGGUAGCUGUGCUGCCUGCCUGCAGGGUAACCUGCAGGGCAAUACCCGGCUGUAUGCGGGAAAACCCUUAGAGCUCUUCCUACUUGGGGAGGUUUUCUCCAAGUAAAAAUGGAAGAGAUUGGGCAAUCCGCAGGAAACCCCGAAAGGGGGAUCCUCAGAGACUGUACGCCGGGCAUCCAGCUUCCCAGCGAGGUGCGGUGUGAUGGAGCUUCAUCCAAAGUGGGUCGUUGGGUUCGUGGAUGGAGAAGGAUGUUUCUAUGUGGGUGUGAACAAGAACGAGGCGAUGAGCUUGGGUUAUCAGGUGUUGCCUGAGUUCAGAGUCGUUCAACACCGGCGAGACAUCCAAGUCCUUUACGCGCUCAAGCGCUUCUUCGGAUGCGGUACGGUCAGAAGAAACCACGAAGACAGAUACGAGCUCAGGAUAAGGAAAUUUGAGUGUCUGAAAAAGGUCGUUGAAUUCUUUCAAAAUCAUCCACUCAAGACGAAGAAGAACGUCGAUUUCAAGAAAUUCAGCAAGAUCAUCAAGAUGAUGGAUGAAGGAAAGCACCUCACGAGGGAAGGGCUGAUCGAGAUCGUGCAGAUAGCUCUCGAAAUGAACACGGGAAAACAUGAGCAGCUGAAGCAGAUCUUGUGCGAAUUGACUGGGAAGGCUGGAUGAAGAUACAGUCCACCCUUGGUUCGAAAGACCAAG